ACCCUCGUGGCCUAACGGAUAAGGCAUGGUCUCCUAAACGGGGAUCGCGGUUCGAAUCCGCCGGAGGUA